CAUCAUUCGAAAACCAACACCAGCACCAAGAUUCAGUAGUCCUAGCUGGCACAGGAACCAGCACUAUGCUGUGGAACUGCACUAUGGCUAUGAGAUUUUCAGCCAUGCUGGACCAAGUAGUGUUCCUGGCCUAUGUCAGAGAAAAGAAUGACCAACGUCUAAAUUUCUGAGUGAACAUGAAGCAGAACAAGCCAAAAAUUUAGGCAAGAUCUCAAUGAGGAACAAUGCGUUGGGGCACAAGGAGUGAACAGAGAUUUCAGAGUGUGGGAAGGACCCCACACGUCUGGUGCAGAAAUUGGAAGGUGUGGGACAGAGGAGACAGCGAGCUGUGGAAAGACACCAAAUGGCACCGCUGACUGAGAUGAGAGCUCCUUCACCAGCCUCUGCUCUUGCCUCUGACACAGCCAUUCUACAUCAUGUUGUUCUCCAAACAGAUGCAUUUUUUACUUUUCCACAGCGUAGGGCCCAUUUGAGAACCCUCUGUGAAUAGCCACUGGAGCUGCACAUACAGAGUGGGUAUGUGCAGGUGCAUAUGGACAAGUCACACCAUCAAUAAUCUCCAUGAAUCUCCAUCAAUAAUGAUCUCAUCCUCUCUGCAUUUCAGGCACACAGGCUCCAGUGUGGGGUAAUAUUUUGCUCAUUCACUGCAUAUCAGAAUACAUCAAAAACCUGAAAAAAUACACUGAAUACAGAGAAAACUAAGCUUUAGACAACCUAGUUCUAUUUCUCUUUCAUUUUAACACAAGCACAACAUGGGCAUGAACAAAGACAGGUGAGGUGAAUUCCCAAAUUUUCGAAUUCUUAAAUGUUUGCUUUACAAAGUUAAUAAUUCAUAUAACUUCGGACAUUUUAACAUGCCUUUUUGGGUGUAUUGCAUAUUCUAUUUAGUGAUAUGACAGUAUGACUAAUUGAGUAACAACUUUUAAUGUGCUUGUAAUUAUUUUUCUUUUAACUGUCCUGAAAGUAUAAUAAAACAUUAUAAAAGAAAACCAUCUAAGUCAUAAGUGAUAUAAGCUAAAGAAAGAAAUAAAAAUUAUUCCUGACUUCCUGGCAACUGAAUUUAUUUUGAAAAAAAAAAAUCUAUGCAAGUCUGACAUCUGCUAGGCACCUUACUAGUUUGAUUCCUCAUCUAAACAUAAAUGUGGGGCCUGAAAGCCCUAUUACUUGUGCCUGGCUUAGCACAGACUGAGUGUGAAGUUUUUCCUCUACCUUGUACAUUUGAACAAGACUGUUUAUGCUCUGCUUGGCAUGGCUCUGGGACACAAAGAUGCUACUGCCUCUAGCAUACCCAUUGCUUGUCACUGCUUCCCUGAGAGAAGCUGACCUUAAGCUUGUCUAGCUUGGUCUGAUUGGUCUCUAAUCUGUUUCUGAGAAAUGAACCAGAUUCACAAAGAACAAGUGAAAAAAUACAAGACUGUUUGGAGGCAGAGAAGAUACACCAUACAGCAUGGGGUUAGUCUCAACCUGUCUGGAUGUCAGCUAGACCGAAGUAGAACAAACGUCUCACGCAACAAACUGACAGACCCAGCUGGAAGACAGCAGGUGACAGCACCACCUUCAGCAAGGAGCUUCUAAAGUUUAUUCUCACUGCCACUCUAACUCACACAUCCACAGCAUAACCAUCAGACAGGCAGCACCUGGAUAUUCACAGAGUGCAAGAUGAUUCCAACAAAAUGAUCAGGAUGGUCCUUGGAGAAGGUCUCAGAAUUAGUUAUUAGUCUCCCAAAUCAUGCACUUAUUGUUGAAGAAAUUCCAACCAUGUAUCUGGGCCUAACUUGCCUGAGAAAUAGGAUGGGAAGGAAAUGAGAUUUGACAGAAAGAAACAACAUGAAGCAAUUCACAAGGCAGAGAUGUCAGGAAAAACUUGGCUACAGUCAGGGAGACAUUUGCCAAGACUGCAGCAGGACAACUGGACCUCUUCUACAUUACUGUCAUGCAAUCAUGUUAUGUUGCUGAAACAGCUCCCCAGCUGGCAACAACUACCAGCAAGAGUCAAACUGAAUCCAUACUGUAUUUGUUUUGGUAUUUGUAAGGAAACCACCUUUCUGCUGGUAUUCAAAAAAUGGUUCUGUCUGAGAAAUCCAUUAGUGACUAAGUCUGAAGGAUAAGAAGACUCUCACUGCUUGCUAUGUGUGGUAGAAAUUCCACUUUUUUGAAUUUGAAUAAAAUCUCCAUGAGACUGGUG